rnacentral:lncRNA from 1 species
UCACAAUCCACACAAAUGAAGGCCCACAGCAACUUCCACCACCACCUUAAACUGCUAAAUGCCGCCAACCAAUAACCGAAAAUCAAACACCAAUACAGCUAUAAUGCCUUUUUUCGGUUUUUGUUUAAUUUGUUAUUAAUUGUAUACGCUGCCUCAACCAAUACAUCCAUCAUUUCAAUUCAAAAUCAAAGAUUUCCUUGAACACGGGGAGCCUCUGUGUAUUAAUUUGGUCAUUCCUAAUUGUUGCGAGGGCAAGAAAGUGGUUGUUUUUACAAGAUAUUUUGGAGGAUAAGAAGGUGUUGGAGAAUUUAUUUGGUAGGCAAAGGACAAAUGCUGUGAUUUUGUAGGAAAUAUCAAUUUUCAAGGCGACAAUUCUGGGUGCCUUCUUUAGAAGCGUAAACUUGUAACUACUGGAAUCCAAGUUCCAACAUGCUGUGAAUAAAGAGAUCGGUCUCUGUAUUUCUAAUCCUCUCUCUAUUCUACUUCAUAUCAUUUGUAGAAUAUGGACCAAGGUACAGCAUAAAAAGCAUCAAUAUGGAUUCAAAAUCUUAACUGUUCUGCUUCAAUUUACAGCUAUUUCACAGCUUUUCUGGCUUUUGCAUAAAAAUUGUUUUGGGCUUUGCUUGUUCUGGGUUUUGCUUCAAUCUUACUGGGUUUUAAGGUGAAGGCUGCGGUGACCGUUCGUUUUGGUGAGUUGGCACUGACGACGGUGGGGGGAGCAUUUGGUUGGGGAAGAAAGGUCCCAUUUUUUUCCUUUCUUUCUCUCUCUCUUUUUUUUUUUUUUUUGGUCUUUUUAAGUGAAUAGACGGCUUUACCCUCCCCUAUUUUGGUAUAAAAUGGGCAAUUUAAUUUUGGUAGUCAACUGAGGAAAUUGUUGAUAGAAACCAUCCAAAAGAGCCUCAUAUGCAACAGUUGGAAGGUUAUGGGUGAUGGCUGCAACAAUUGAAAUGUGUUCGUAAAAAGUCUGCUAGUAUUUCAAAGAUUCGGGAUUUCUACUGCAAUUAUCCC